UUUAUGGAGAGUUUGAUCCUGGCUCAGGACGAACGCUGGCGGCGUGCCUAAUACAUGCAAGUCGAGCGGACUAAUGGGAGCUU
rnacentral:rRNA from 1 species